rnacentral:rRNA from 1 species
GCAGCUUACUAAGGAUUUACUGACGCUGAUGCACGAAAGCGUGGGGAUCAAACAGGAUUAGAUACCCUGGUAGUCCACGCCGUAAACGAUGAUAACUCGCUGUUGGCGAUAUACAGUCAGCGGCUUAGCGAAAGCGUUAAGUUAUCCACCUGGGGGAGUACGCUCGCAAGAGUGAAACUCAAAGGAAUUGACGGGGGGCCCGCACAAGCGGAGGAACAUGUGGUUUAAUUCGAUGAUACGCGAGGAACCUUACCUGGGCUUAAAUGUGCUAUGACCGCUGGAGAAAUUCGGCUUCCCGCAAGGGCAGAGUACAAGGUGCUGCAUGGUUGUCGUCAGCUCGUGCCGUGAGGUGUCGGGUUAAGUCCCAUAACGAGCGCAACCCUUAUUGUCAGUUGCUAACAGGUUAAGCUGAGGACUCUGGCGAGACUGCCACCGUAAGGUGUGAGGAAGGUGGGGAUGACGUCAAAUCAGCACGGCCCUUAUGUCCAGGGCUACACACGUGUUACAAUGGCCGAUACAAAGGGCAGCUACCGGGCGACCGGAUGCUAAUCUCUAAAGUCGGUCUCAGUUCGGAUCGAAGUCUGCAACCCGACUUCGUGAAGCUGGAUUCGCUAGUAAUCGCGCAUCAGCCAUGGCGCGGUGAAUACGUUCCCGGGCCUUGUACACACCGCCCGUCACGUCAUGAAAGCCGAUAACACCCGAAGCCGGUGGGCCAACCGCAAGGAGGCAGCCGUCGAAGGUGGGAUUGGUGAUUGGGAC